UACGAAGGGGGGCUAGCGUUGUUCGGAAUUACUGGGCGUAAAGCGCCACGUAGGCGGAUUGUUAAGUUAGGGGUGAAAUCCCAGGGCUCAACCCUGGAACUGCCUUUAAUACUGGCAAUCUCGAGUCCGAGAGAGGUGAGUGGAAUUCCGAGUGUAGAGGUGAAAUUCGUAGAUAUUCGGAGGAACACCAGUGGCGAAGGCGGCUCACUGGCUCGGUACUGACGCUGAGGUGCGAAAGCGUGGGGAGCAAACAGG
rnacentral:rRNA from 1 species